GACAGAGGAUGCAAGCGUUAUCCGGAAUGAUUGGGCGUAAAGCGUCUGUAGGUGGCUUUUUAAGUCCGCCGUCAAAUCCCAGGGCUCAACCCUGGACAGGCGGUGGAAACUACCAAGCUGGAGUACGGUAGGGGCAGAGGGAAUUUCCGGUGGAGCGGUGAAAUGCGCAGAUAUCAGGAGGAACACCGGUGGCGAAGGCGGGUCUCUGGGCAGUAACUGACGCUGAGGAGCGAAAGCGUGGGGAGCGAACAGG
rnacentral:rRNA from 1 species